rnacentral:rRNA from 1 species
AACGAACGCUGGCGGCAUGCCUAACACAUGCAAGUCGAACGAGACCUUCGGGUCUAGUGGCGCACGGGUGCGUAACGCGUGGGAACCUGCCCUUAGGUUCGGAAUAACUCCCCGAAAGGGGUGCUAAUACCGGAUAAUGUCUUCGGACCAAAGAUUUAUCGCCUUUGGAUGGGCCCGCGUUGGAUUAGCUAGUUGGUAGGGUAAAAGCCUACCAAGGCGACGAUCCAUAGCUGGUCUGAGAGGAUGAUCAGCCACACUGGGACUGAGACACGGCCCAGACUCCUACGGGAGGCAACAGUGGGGAAUAUUGGACAAUGGGCGAAAGCCUGAUCCAGCAAUGCCGCGUGAGUGAUGAAGGCCGUAGGGUUGUAAAGCUCUUUUACCCGGGAUGAUAAUGACAGUACCGGGAGAAUAAGCGCCGGCUAACUCCGUG